GUCUGUCCCUCGGCUCCGGAGGGGGGGGGGGUGUAAUAGCGCGGGAGGUGGGGCUAAGGGGACCCUCAUCCUCCCUUUCCGACAAGUGGGGGUCCUGAGCGCUGCCCAGAAGGGGUCCAGAGAAUGUUGUGGGCUGGGGCACACCCGCCGGGGCAGAAAUUGGAGGACACCACCGACGUCGACAGAAUCCUUUCUAUCCUUCCUUUCAGCUGCCCGGUGUUCUCCACCCCUGCGUUAGCACUCUGUAGUCUGGGGACCUCCCGGGAACGUCCCGGGGCUAGCAACCAAGGGGGCUCUCGGAUGCUCUGUGGAUCGCCGCUUCGCCCUUACUUUGGGGACGGUCACACGCGUCCCGCUUCCCCCGGUCGCUUUAGAUCAGGCGUCUGCGCCCUCCCCGGCUCCUCACCCCCACCCCCAGAGUCAAAUGUGGGCCUCUCCUGGAAAUCCUUUGCGAAGGGGACAAACUUUUGAGUGGACGAAAAUCUAUUGGAGCCUGUCCAGAGCAGUGCUCCAUCACCCAGCCAAGAUGAUGUUGCUGAACAAGUGUAGGCCAAAGCCUGAGGACCACAGUGCUCUGUCUUGACCCUGAUGCCAAAGGGAAUCAUCACACUGGGCCACCCUGCUCUGGGCUCUGGGUGCUUCACCUCCGUGACCCUGCUUCUUGGUUUGAUCACCUGUCAAAUAUGCCUUUUGCACUACAAGGUUGCUCAGCAGUUUUGACUUCCUUAAUAGGCCCUGCUCUGAGACCCUGAGGCUGGCUGGCAUACACUCUGCCUCUGUCUGGAGUUUAUAAUGAGGAUGCAAAUACAGGGAUUCAAAGAAGAGGCCCUAAGUGAGAAGCCCGGGGAUUUGCUAACCAGGGGCAGGGUACCAGUUGUGACUUUGACCUUUAUAGCCUUAACUCACUGUAGACAAUUCUGCAUUUUCCAUUUCCACUCCAUCCCUGUUUCUGGGAGAGAGGUGCUGGUGUCCCCAAGGUUACUGCUCUCUGGGGAUGAGGGUCAGUAUCACAAAUUAAAACCUUAAACUUUCUAAAAACGAAAAGCACAUUUCCCUAUUCUUUGUGUGUUUGGGAGGUUGUGUUUCCCACUAGCCUAGCAGACUCUGACCCCUGAACAUCAGAAUGUGGAUUCCCCUCAUUGUCUACACCAACCCCCCAAGAAAGGCUCAAUCCAGGUGACUGUGGAAAGGAUGAGCCCACACUCACUUCCUCAUCCCUCAUCUGCUUUGAAGGACUCAGGACCUCAGCAGGCUGAACAGCCAUGAGGAGCGAAGCUGAGUGGCUUCCCACCUCCUUUGAGCUCCUCGCAGUUCUGUUUUGUGUGUGGUUUGUCCUCGCCCCUCCUCGGACCUGGAAAAUGAAUGUUUAACCCCGCUCUGCUCAUCUCUCCCUGUGCCCUGUUCCUGUCAGCCUCAAAGCUGCCGGGAGGAAGGACCUGCAGCUUCCAGUCCUGCUCAUAGUCAAUGAAAAUUCAAAUUCUCUUCUCAGCAGAAGGGCAGCUGCCUUCUUCUCCGUUUUCCCUGCACACAUUGAUCUGUCGCGAGGGCACCUGGGGGUCAGAAGAGAGGCCAGGCUCUUUUAAUUUGGUCUGGAAUUAGCAUAUCCUAUCACACCAAAGGCCAGGAUUUCCACAUCCAGGAGCAGGAGGUCUUCACCCAGACCUAGACCUGUUCUUAGACCCCUCAAGCCAGCAAUGAUAUCCACAUUUGUUGAGGUGGAGACCUAGGAGGGAAAAUGAGCAAUUUGGCCCAUUUUUCAGGCCAGUAGCUGCAGCUGUCUGCUCUGUUAAUAUUUUCUUCAGUAUUCAUCACAGGCAAAGCACCGCCUUUACCUCGGAGUGCCUCGAGGAUAGGAAGAUCUUUGCCACCCUGAGACCUCCGUGUGUUGUGGAUAGAUACACAAAUAAACAGAUGGGGAAAAAAAAGA
rnacentral:lncRNA from 1 species